GAAAUUUCAAGAUGGCCACACGAUGAUGGAUAAAUUGUAAACUGUGCUCACUACAGAUAUCAUACAGUGAUAAUAGACAUAUUUAUCAUUAAUUAUUCUACUCUAGUGAUGUCGUCAGAUGAAGAAUUGAAGACGAGUGAUGGCCAAGUGUGCAAUGCAGAGUCUGCAGAUGAAGGUUCAUGCUCUACUGCUGUAACAGAAGCAGAGCAUGGUGUGCAAAGCAACUCUGCAGCUAUCUUGUCUGAGUACGAAGUCCUAUUCAAAGAUAGGUUUACGGACAAAGAUGCUGACUAUGCUUCAGCACUAGCAAAAGGAAAUAUUACUCCUCCAUGUGUUGAAAACUUUUUUACACGUCCUAAAAGAGAUUUCGAUCACUCACGGAACCAAUCUCAUCAAUAUAACAGAAAACGACCAUAUGACGGAGGAGGAGGAGGAGGAGGACACGGAGGAUGGGGAGGUGGAGGAGGAGGAGGA